rnacentral:rRNA from 1 species
UACGUAGGGAGCAAGCGUUGUUCGGAAUUACUGGGCGUAAAGGGCGCGUAGGCGGCCUUCUAAGUCGAACGUGAAAUCCCCGGGCUCAACCCGGGAACUGCGUCCGAUACUGGUUGGCUUGAAUCCGGGAGAGGGACGUGGAAUUCCAGGUGUAGCGGUGAAGUGCGUAGAUAUCGAGAGGAACACCUGCGGCGAAGGCGGGUUGCUGGGCUGAUGACUGACGCUGAGGCGCGAAAGCCAGGGGAGCGAACGGG